AUAAGGUCAAAGGUGACAAAGAUGGCGGCGGCCUGAGAGUUAGUGUUGUGAGACAUCAACAGAUUUUGGAACUAGUCAGAGAUGGUGACUUAGAAGUUGGGAAUACCAUUCAUAUUUGGUGUAUCCGCUUCUGCAUGAUGUCCUUGUUAUCAGAUGACCUGAAUAGCUUUGCGCAAGGCUGGAAUGACAGAAGGAAGCUGCCUGGUCACGGUGCACCUGCUGGCCGUCCAAAUGCGCUUUAUUUCCUGCCACACCUUUCAGGGGGCCAAAACCUACUACAAGACGUGGAUGCGAGGAUGCUCCACCAUGCACAGCGAGAGUGCACAUCACCCUCACUUGUUGGGAAUGACAGAUUUCAUCGCUACUUAUGUGAUAUGUUGCAAAGGUUAAAUAAGAGGUAUCCCACAAAUUGCGAUGAUGCAUUAACACUGUACCGAGAGCUGGUGGCAAUUGCAAAUUAAUAUACAUCAAACCUGUACACAGAACACCUAGUUUAUGUGUCCACUUAAUUGGUGGUCCUUUGGUGAUUUAUUUAUUGUAACAGAUGUAGAGGAACUGAUCUUCUCACACACUUAACUUGUAAUAUUAUGUCAUCAAAUGUAAGACUUAACCAGCAACAAGAACUCUUAACCAGCAACAAGAACUCUACAACUUGUAAUGUAAAUUGAUAGAAUAUUCGGCUUACCUGCAACAAG